GGAGUUGAGAAGUGUGCAAUACCGAUAAUAGCACAAUUUUUUUUAUGUGCCCUUUUCAAGCCUAGCCAGGUUCAUGGGCCUGGUUUCCCGGUUCUGUGGCAUAUGUAUUCCCCCCCAGCUUGAUGGGACGCCAGUCCAUCGCAGCGUUACUCAAGAAACAGGAAGAAAGAGUGAGAGAAAGUUGGGGUGAAAGAGUUCAACAGGGGUCGCCACCACCCCCAGCCAGAGCCUCGUGGA